UGUUAGAGCGAUGGCUGGGCAGUAAGGAGUACUUGCUGCUUUUCUAGAUGAGGGUUUUUGUUUCCCCACAGUUUGUUUCGGUGGCUCAUGGCUGCCUGUGGCUCUCAGCUCCAGGGGAUCUGCCCAUCACACAUGUGGCAUAUACAUACACAGGCAAAAAAACCACAUGCACAUAGAUAGAAUAACUUUUAAAAAGCAAAUGUUUAUAUAUUUUAUGUAUAUCUGUGCUGUUUGUGGAUAUACAUAUUUGUGUAUGUACAUAUGUGUGUACCAUGGAGGAGAAAGGUCUAUGCCAAUAUCUUCAGUUGCUCUCCACUCUGUCUGUCUGUCUGUCUGUCUGUCUGUCUAUCUAUCUGAGGCAGUAUCUCUCACUAACCUGGAACACACUAAUUGUCUAGACCAGAUGGUCAGUAGGUCCCAGGAAUCCCCCUGCCUCUGAUUUUUCUUCAUUAAAGUUACUGAUGUACACUCACAUACCUGGCUUUUUAAAAUGUGGCUACUGGGGGGUAGCUAUGGAUUACUCAGGUACUCCAGAGCAAACAUCUUACAACUGAGUCCCUGCCCCAGCCCUGGAAUCCCACAGCAAAAAUCUGAACAACCCUUAUGGUCUGAUGUAGGUGGGCCUCAGAUUAUAGUUGGGGAAAUAAUGAUCUUGGUGCAAAGGGAAAAAGAAGAAAGAAAAAUCUAGUAGAAGCAAAUAUUAUUUACAUUGUAAUAAGAAGACUAAACCAAUGGCCAGAAAGUUCCUCUUUGAUUUUCUUUUUCCUUCCUUCCUUCCUUCCUUCCUUCCUUCCUUCUUUCUUUCUUUCUUUCCCUUUUUUUUUUUGUUCCUUUGAGAUGAGAGCGGACUAGAGAAUCCUUGGGAAUACAGGUGUUUAGUUUUGCCUCUUUAGUUUCAUUUUGUUUUGCUGUUUUCUCAUUGUGAUUGACAUCAGCUUAUCCUUCCAAAAGGAUGUGCUUAAGAUGACAAAAAUAAGAGAAUAUUCAGAAUGGUUAGAACUAAAAAGUACCUAAGUAUUGCUAAGACCUCAAAAGAUGUCGAGUCAAAGAAGGAAUUAAGUUGACACUCAUUAGACAAGAAUGUGAAUCCAUUCCAACGAGGAUGCAGACUUUGUGAAUGGCUUAGAGGUGAAGAGCAGAGAGGAUUAGUUCUUCUUCAUGAGUUCUGGUUAUUCUGGUUAUAGGAUCUGAAAGCAUAUUAUUAAAGUCAUAUUUCCUGGAAUAGUUCAAAAUUCAAAUACCUUUCCCCUGCCUGUUGAAGACAGGACAACUGGCUUGUACUUCUUUUUCGUUUUCAGAUUGAUUGGUUCAGUUAGGAGCACCAGGCGGGUUGUACCUAACAACAGAAGUCAGACCUCCUAUUUUUCAACUUUUAAAAAAAAUAUAUGUGUAGACUCCAAAGUCCACACUCAAGAAUGAGAGCUGAGAGACCCAGUCUGUUAUAGGAAGUCAUCUAAGAAGUAGACCAGGCAGGAAUGGCUGUUUAAGCCUAGCAGAGGAGAGAAAGCAAUUCCUCCUGUGUCCUAAUGAAUUCCCUUUUCAUGUGGAAAGCUGGCUUUUGUUGUUGCUAAUAAUACAGGAUUUCCUUCAGAGAAUUUUUAAUGUCUUGUUCAGAUACCACACAGAGAGAUAUUGACCACAAAUAUUAAUACUGGUUUGGGAGAUAUGUUGAUGUGAUGUUGUCCCUACCUUUAUUAAACUGACCAUCUUAAUAACUCCAUCCAUCUUGGCACCGACACCUCUGCUUUUCUACUUACUGUGUUCCUUACAACUCCUAGGCCUUAGAGCGGUGCUGACUACAUUACCCGUCCUCUUCCCUCUCUUCUAUCUUCCACCCCGCCCUGCCCCCCUUUCUCCAGGGCUUACUUCCACAGGAGCACUCCAUCCUCCCAAGGACCCUGCCCAUCUGCCUACAAGAUCUGCGAGCAUCUUCGUAUCUGCCUUGUAAGUGUUGAGGAUCAUUACUGUCAUUAUGGGGAGCAGAGGCCACGCCCGUGUGCUGCUCAGAGCCCAAGUGAGUUGGGUCAGUAGAUCCUUAGCUGCUGAAGCAAACAGGAGGGCUAGUGCUGUGUGCUGGUGGUGACAGAGCCAGCUUCUCUCACUGACGCUGGCAACCCAGGAAGGUGCUCUUCAUGGCUGCCACUCCGCUCUAAGCACUGAAGAGCAGGCGCAGGAGUGUUUCUUUUUCCAGGUGACUUCCUAUCUUUGCUGUUUGGUGCUGCCAUACUCAUAUGCUUGUAGGUGCUUCUUACUGGCCUUAAUAUUCCUGGUUUAGCUUUUGGAGCCUACUCUAUUCCAUAUAUAUUUAACCAAGAGGUGGAGGUUUCCAGUGAUCCCCUUAUUUUGACAGGAAACGGGUCUUAGUGUUUUUGUCAGGCUUGUGUGUGUGUGUGUGUGUGUGGUCUAAUCAGGAAGUCAUCCAAGUUCAACUUUAAAAUGCCCAUAAACUAUCAAUGCAAGUGUUGCACUCAGAGUAUUCUUUUGGGGAUGUAGCACAUUUUUG
rnacentral:lncRNA from 1 species